AACGAACGCUGGCGGCAUGCCUAACACAUGCAAGUCGAACGAGACCUUCGGGUCUAGUGGCGCACGGGGGCGUAACCCGUGGGAACCUGCCCUUAGGUUCGGCCUAACUCCCCGAAAGGGGUGCUAAUACCGGAUAAUGUCUUCGGACCAAGGAUUUAUCGCCUUUGGAUGUGCCCGCGUUGGAUUAGCUAGUUGGUAGGGUAAAAGCCUACCAAGGGGACGAUCCAUAGCUGGGAAGAGAGGCAGAUCAGCGACACUGGGAGUGAGACACGGCCCAGACUCCUACGGGAAGGAGGAGUGGCGGAUGGAGGACCAUGGGCGGAGGCAUGAACCACCACGGCCGGGUGAAUGAUGAAGGCAUUGAGGUAGUAAAGCGCAAUUAACCAGGAUGGUAAUGACGGUACCGGGAGAAUAAGCGCCGGCUAACUCCGUG
rnacentral:rRNA from 1 species